UUUAAAAGCUUGCUUUUAAAUCUUAGCGGCGGACGGGUGAGUAACACGUGGGCAACCUGCCUGUAAGACUGGGAUAACUUCGGGAAACCGGAGCUAAUACCGGAUAACUUCAGACACCUCCUGGUGUCUGAAUAAAAGAUGGCUUCGGCUAUCACUUACAGAUGGGCCCGCGGCGCAUUAGCUAGUUGGUGAGGUAACGGCUCACCAAGGCGACGAUGCGUAGCCGACCUGAGAGGGUGAUCGGCCACACUGGGACUGAGACACGGCCCAGACUCCUACGGGAGGCAGCAGUAGGGAAUCUUCCGCAAUGGACGAAAGUCUGACGGAGCAACGCCGCGUGAGCGAUGAAGGCCUUCGGGUCGUAAAGCUCUGUUGUUAGGGAAGAACAAGUACCGUUCGAAUAGGGCGGUACCUUGACGGUACCUAACCAGAAAGCCACGGCUAACUACGUGCCAGCAGCCGCGGUAAUACGUAGGUGGCAAGCGUUGUCCGGAAUUAUUGGGCGUAAAGCGCGCGCAGGCGGUCCUUUAAGUCUGAUGUGAAAGCCCACGGCUCAACCGUGGAGGGUCAUUGGAAACUGGGGGACUUGAGUACAGAAGAAGAAAGUGGAAUUCCAGUGUAGCGGUGAAUGCGUAGAGAGUGGAGGAACCCAGUGGCGAAGCGACUUCUGGUCUGUACUGACGCUGAGCGCGAAGCGUGGGAGCAACAGGAUUAGAUACCUGGUAUCCACGCCGUAACGAUGAUGCUAGUGUAGAGGGUUCCGCCCUUUAGUGCUGAGUUACGCAUUAGCACUCCCCUGGGAGUACGUCGCAGACUGAACUCAAGGAAUGACGGGGCCGCACAGCGUGGAGCAGUGGUUAUUCGAGCACGCGAGAACUUACAGUCUGACU
rnacentral:rRNA from 2 species